GUCAGUUUACACGAUUAGGUGCCAUUUGUAACCUGAGCUUGAUUUUAUUAGCUCAGGUUACAAGUGGCACCUAAUCAUUGCAUGCUUUUAUGU